UACGAAGGGUGCAAGCGUUGUUCGGAUUUAUUGGGCGUAAAGCGCGCGCAGGCGGGUAUUCAAGUCAGGUGUGAAAUCUCGGGGCUCAACCCCGAAUGUGCGCCUGAAACUGUUUACCUAGAAUCUUGGAGGGGGUAGGGGAAUUUCACGUGUAGGGGUAAAAUCCGUAGAGAUGUGAAGGAACACCUGAGGCGAAGGCGCCUACCUGGACAAGUAUUGACGCUGAGGCGCGAAAGCGUGGGGAGCAAAC
rnacentral:rRNA from 1 species